AUUGAACGCUGGCGGCAUGCUUUACACAUGCAAGUCGAACGGUAACAGGCCGCAAGGUGCUGACGAGUGGCGAACGGGUGAGUAAUGCAUCGGAACGUGCCCAGUCGUGGGGGAUAACGCAGCGAAAGCUGUGCUAAUACCGCAUACGAUCUAUGGAUGAAAGCGGGGAACCGUAAGGCCUCGCGCGAUUGGAGCGGCCGAUGUCAGAUUAGGUAGUUGGUGGGGGAAAGGCUCACCAAGCCAACGAUCUGUAGCUGGUCUGAGAGGACGACCAGCCACACUGGGACUGAGACACGGCCCAGACUCCUACGGGAGGCAGCAGUGGGGAAUUUUGGACAAUGGGCGCAAGCCUGAUCCAGCAAUGCCGCGUGCAGGAAGAAGGCCUUCGGGUUGUAAACUGCUUUUGUACGGAACGAAAAGGUUUGGGUUAAUACCCUGGGCCGAUGACGGUACCGUAAGAAUAAGCACCGGCUAACUACGUGCCAGCCGCCGCAGUAA
rnacentral:rRNA from 1 species